rnacentral:misc_RNA from 1 species
AGAGAAACCAAUCGUGUUUCAACAACAACAUAUUCUAUGAAAUUACACAAGUGAGAUCUCAGGAGGAUACCGUAUACACACACCAUUACUCCUACCUUAUAGGAAGAUAAAAGAACUAUUUUUGAUGGACUUUCGACUAAUCACACGCUUGUUAAUUCCAAACUUAGAUAGUGAAGACAACUAGAAGAAAAAAUAAAAAAGAAGACAUUAAAAUUGGCUUUUCAAAUUUGUAAUUAUUUGCUCCAUUUUUUUUGGGUCCCUUUCUAAGAAGGUCUGGUCCACCAUAAGCUCCUCUUCUUUGAUGAACAAUUUUAUGAACAUCUUUAUGUUCAUCCUUGUUGCUCUCUAUACUUGAUAAUUCAUUAGCAAUCUUUUCCUUGUUUUCAUUUUGCAAGAUGAGUUCAUUAUUUGUGGAUUUUGGGAUGAAGGUGCAAGAUGAGUAUGGCAAAGUUUUCAAGAAUAUAAUAAGGCAAAGCCAUGAAACUAAUACAAGAAUUUUCAUGGUGUUUAUUUUUUAAUGAAA